AUUUAUAAGGCCAUACAGAACAGAAACAGACUAUUCAGCCCACCUUGUCUAUGCCAACUAAGUGCCCAUCUAUACUAAUCCCAUAUGCCAGCACUUGGUCCAUACCUUUCUAUGCCUUGGUAAUUUGAGUGCUCAUCUAAAUACUUCUCAAAUAAUGUCAAAGUACCAGUCUCCACCACUGCUCAGGCAGUUGGUCCAGAUUCCAACCACCUUCUGGAUGAAAAAAAUCCUCAUCUGAUCCAUUUUGUCAUCUGAAAAUUAAGCCUCAGUGUAAGAUUGCUGUACAGUUAGAUGAUUAUAUUAUGAUCUUAGAUGUCUGCUAAAGGAGAACCGCAUAAUUACUCUGGUUACAAAAGCAAGUUGGGCCUGAACCAAGAGUUACCUGAAUCCGGGUUGGGCUCACAUUGUGUGAUACCCAAAAUCCUGGUUUGACCCCAACUGGAAAUGUCUUAUGUUUCACAAUUUCUUCCCAUCUCUAUCCUCGACUUCAUUCUAAUCUUCACCACAAGCCCCAAUUCUCCUUUCAACCACUCAUCACUGUUGCAUUCCCUGUGCUACUCCUUCCCUAGAAUCUCUCAGCAUCCGAGGGAAGAGAAGCAGACUUUCUACUCCUUUUUCAACCUUUCUCCAUAACUAAUCAGGGGGAGAAAAAUCUUGAAAAAUGAAAGAAAUAUCAGGAAUGGAAUUAAAAAUAAUUCCUGCGUGAUGGACAUUCAUGAAUCAGCCAGUCAGGUAAUGAAAGAAGGGUCUCGACCCGAAACGUCACCCUUUCCAUCUCUCCAGAGAUGCUGCCUGUCCCGCUGAAUUACUCCAGCAUUUUGUGUCUAUCGUAAUGAAAAGUAGGUUUAUUUUCUGUUGGUGGGACAAGCAUGACACUGUGAGAAUGAAUAUAUUGGACAGGAGCAUUCAGACAUCAAGUAAUGGGACUUUCAGGAAUGUGUCUAAUUCCAAAGGCAGUGCUGGGUCAGAGGAAUGGUCACCGAUGAUGUCAAUGAAUCAUCAAGGGAGUUCUGCAGUGUUGCAUUCAAGGUCAUGUUUAACUAAUUAUGGUGAAACUGCGAGGCAAUGAUUGACACCGUAUUACUUAUUUUGCAAAUAAACCGCAUAGAGUGGAACGACAAUUAUAUCGGACAUUUGAAACAUAUGCGGGCAGUUUCUAAUUCAAAUGAAACUCUAAAUGAUGACAGCAAAUUCGAGUUGGACAAGUUUUCUAGAAGCAGCCAAAGUAUUUAUUUCGCUGCACUCAGGCACCUCAGAAAAUUGCCCAAAAAUGGCCAGUAUUUCUACAAAAUCUGUCACCAUCUGAAUCCAGUGUUAAAAUCCAAUAUCAGAAAGACAUUCUUUAGUUCUGUUGAUCCUUGUGUAUGGAACAGAAAUAGAAAAAAAGCAAAAAAAUGCAAUAAAAUACAGCAGUGAGCUGUAUCCUGGGAUUUUGAAUACCAAGAUCAUUAACACAAAACAUGUGUGGGUUGUUGUGUAACUCCUAAUUCGGAAAUUGGGACGUUGGCAACAUCGUGAGAAAUUCCCUAAUGAAACGGAAAAGUGUUGGAAAAUAAACUGAAAUCUAACCAGGAACAACAAAUCUAAAUAAACAAGAAACAUAACACUUUAUAUUUUGCUCAGACUUUUGCUUUAAAUGGUACGGUGAAAAUUGUGCCAUGUUGAAUCUGGCCAGCCGCUCACCCAAGGAAAGUAGAGGGAUUGCGUUUCCAUGGUUACCCAUUAUGUAGACAGCAACAAACUGUGAAGAUGUUAGCAGGCCAAGCUGCCUGCUUGGAACAAGAAACCUCACAAAAAUGCUAAGCUUGCGAAAGAACAACUGGUGUAACUCCUUACUGACCAACGGUUGCUACUCAAGCAGGGAGCUCUUGCAAAGAGAACAAAAGGGGCUACAAGCAAGUUUAGAGCAGCUGCAAGAAUCUUGGGCACAGAUGAAAAAGCUUAGUGUGAAGUCGCAGCAAAAAGGGUUUGCACAAUCAUCCAUCCUGAGUCUGUACAAAGACCACAGACCUCAAGUGAAAACAUAUAAGGCAUGAUUAAUGAGAAUGUAGCUGAUUUGCUGUGAAAGUACAAGGCAAGGCUACCUACAAACCAAAACGUAACCAGGAGGAUCUGGUACAGAGAGUUGGUCAAUGCUGGUCAGUGGACACGGAUUACAUCUUUACGUGACUGCUUUGAUUCAGUGGACUGGUCCAUAUUCAGGGAUUCUGUAGCCAACCUAAAUGAGUGCACCACUGCUGUGACUGACUUCAUCAGCAAGUUCAUAAAAUAUAUUUACACUGAGUGGUGAGAAUGUGAAAGUUGGAAGGGAAAGAAGAGGAUAGCACCAGCAAACUGAAGGGACAACGUGGCCUAUGUGAAGCAGACGGCAAUCGUGGAAUCUGGGUGCGAAUGUAAUGAGAGGUGGAAAAUCGAUGUGUCUGCACAUGCUUGCAGGAAAAUUCAUUGCCAUCACAUCAGCUGGGAAAGGCCACUCAAAGACAAGAGGGAUAGCUGGCAUGGAGGGUGUUUGAAAGUGCACCAACGUCUUUACGUUCCUAGAAGUUCAAUGAGAUUCGGGAUGUCGUGGAUUACUUGAAUAAACAUCUACAGAUGCAUUGUUAAAACGUAUCCUGACUGCUUGCAUCAUGGACUAGUAUGCAGGAACACGAGAGGCUCUAGAAGGUGUUGGAAUCAGCCCAGUCCAUCACGGCCACAGCCCUCCCCACCAUCGAAAACCUCUGCACAAGAUACUGCCCCAUGAAGGCAGAAUCUAUCAUCAUGUAUCCACACCAUCUGGGCCAUGAUCUCUUCCCCCCAGUACUAUCAGGCAGGAGGCACAGAGUCCUGAAGUUCCACACCAUCGUGUUCAGGAACAACGACAUUCUUGAACCAAUCUACACAACCCUAAUCCGACCUCAGCAAUGGAACACUAAAGACCACCUCUUACAAUUCCCAUAGUUUCCUAAUUGUGCUUUCCACUAAUGUAUAAGUCUAGGUGCUUGUGAUGUUGCUGCCAAUAAGAUUUUCAAUGUACCUCACUGUAUCUGUGCAAUUAACAAUAAACUCGACUGGACUGUU